GAUGAAGAACGCAGCGAAAUGCGAUAAGUAAUGCGAAUUGCAGAAUUUCCGUGAGUCAUCGAAUCUUUGAACGCACAUUGCGCCCGCCAGUAUUCUGGCGGGCAUGCCUGUCCGAGCGUCAUUUCAACCCUCGAACCCCUCCGGGGGGUCGGCGUUGGGGAUCGGCCCUUUCACCGGGUGCCGUCCCCCAAAUACAGUGGCGGUCUCGCCGCAGCCUCUCAUGCGCAGUAGUUUGCACACUCGCACCGGGAGCGCGGCGCGUCCACGUCCGUAAAACACCCCAAACUUCUGAAAUGUUGACCUCGGAUCAGGUAGGAAUACCCGCUGAACUUAAGCAUAUCAAUAAGCGGAGGA
rnacentral:misc_RNA from 1 species